UACGUAGGGACCGAGCGUUGUCCGGAAUCAUUGGGCGUAAAGAGCGUGUAGGCGGCCAAUUAAGUCCUGCGUGAAAUCUCGGGGCUCAACCCCGAGCGGUCGUGGGAAACUGGUUGGCUAGAGUGCGGGAGAGGGGAGUGGAAUUCCUGGUGUAGCGGUGAAAUGCGCAGAUAUCAGGAAGAACACCCGUGGCGAAGGCGGCUCUCUGGAACGCAACUGACGCUGAGACGCGAAAGCGUGGGGAGCAAACAGG
rnacentral:rRNA from 1 species